CCGCGACCCCAGGUCAGGCGGGACUACCCGCUGAGUUUAAGCAUAUCA
rnacentral:rRNA from 1 species